CAGGUCUCCAAGGUGAACAGCC
rnacentral:ncRNA from 3 species